UACGUAGGGGGCUAGCGUUGUCCGGAAUCAUUGGGCGUAAAGAGCGUGUAGGCGGUCCGGUAAGUCCGUUGUGAAAGUCAGGGGCUCAACCCUUGAAUGCCGGCGGAUACUGUCGGGCUAGAGUCCGGAAGAGGCAAGUGGAAUUCCCGGUGUAGCGGUGAAAUGCGCAGAUAUCGGGAGGAACACCUAUGGCGAAGGCAGCUUGCUGGGACGGUACUGACGCUGAGGUGCGAGAGCGUGGGGAGCGAACCGG
rnacentral:rRNA from 1 species